rnacentral:rRNA from 1 species
UACGUAGGGCGCAAGCGUUAUCCGGAAUUACUGGGCGUAAAGCGUGCGCAGGCGGUUUUGUAAGUCUGACGUGAAAUCCCCGGGCUCAACCUGGGAAUUGCGUUGGAGACUGCAAGGCUAGAAUCUGGCAGAGGGGGGUAGAAUUCCACGUGUAGCAGUGAAAUGCGUAGAGAUGUGGAGGAACACCGAUGGCGAAGGCAGCCCCCUGGGUCAAGAUUGACGCUCAUGCACGAAAGCGUGGGGAGCAAACAGG